GACGAACCAUGCAAACGUUAUUCGGAAUUACUGGGCUUAAAGCGUGCGUAGGCGGCUCAGAAAGUUGGGUGUGAAAUCCCUCGGCUCAACCGAGGAAUUGCGCCCAAAACUACUGAGCUCGAGGGAGUUAGAGGUGAGCGGAACUCACGGUGGAGCGGUGAAAUGCGUUGAUAUCGUGAGGAACACCGGAGGCGAAAGCGGCUCACUGGGGCUUAUCUGACGCUGAGGCACGAAAGCUAGGGAGCAAACGGG
rnacentral:rRNA from 1 species